rnacentral:rRNA from 1 species
AUGGCCAUGGUGCAGCCGGCGGACAUGGCCGUCAAGGCCAACGAGAUCCUCGCGCGGUUCCGGCCCAUCGCGCCCAAGCCCGCCCUGCCGGCGUCGCCGGUGCAGGCGAUCGACGGCGCCGCCGACCGCGUGCUCUGCCACCUGCAGAACAGGCCGUGCCGGGCAAGGAAGCGCGGGCGCCCGAGCGCCGUGCCGGUGUCCGCGCCGGCCGCUGCCGCCAAGAGGAAGAGGGCGGCGUACCCGGUGCCGCUCCGGUGCGCGGCGGCGGCGGCCACCGACGCGGUGGUGUCCACCGCGACGAGGGCCUAUGUGUCCGUGCCGGGCAGUGCAUGCAUGCCGUUUGCGUCCCUCCCGCCGGCGACCGCGAGUACCGGCGGGAAUCUGACGAUGCUCUCGACGACCAUGGUGGCGGGCGACGACGAAGAGGAGGAGAGGGACGUCCCCGUGGAGCGCGACCUGCUGCGGAAGCUGCUGGAGCCCAAGGUGAUCUCGCCGCGGGCGAUGCGCCCCGUAGGAUCCACCAUCCACGUCGAAUCCAUCGUCCCCGGCGCCGUCGACGCGACCAGCACCGCCGCCUCGAAGACGGCGGAGGAGGUGGAGGCGGAGGUGGAGACCGACGCGCUCCCGGCGGUCGUCACGGACUCGAGCAACCGCGUCCGGCUGGUGAACGACGCGUACAAGGAGAUGGUGGGCGCGCCCGAGUGCCUGUGGCUCGGCGCGGUGGCCGCGUCGAGGAGGAUCAGCGGGGAGGUGGCGCUGGUGGUGGCCGAGCAGGCGACGCUGCCGGAGUCCCCAGGGGGGUUCUCGUGCACGGCGAAGAUCGAGUGGGAGUGCCGCGGCGGCGAGCGGGCUUCCUUCCAUGCAGCGUGCGACGUCAGCCGGCUGCAGUGCGAGUACAGGCACUACCUCUUCGCCUGGAGGUUUCGCACCGCCGAUGCAUCAUCGUCCGGCAGCAGCCACCGCGCCGGCGGCGACGCAUGA